UACGUAGGGGGGCAAGCGUUGUCCGGAAUCAUUGGGCGUAAAGCGCGUGUAGGCGGUUCGGUAAGUCGGCUGUGAAAGUCCAGGGCUCAACCCUGGGAUGCCGGUCGAUACUGCCGGACUAGAGUUCGGAAGAGGCGAGUGGAAUUCCUGGUGUAGCGGUGGAAUGCGCAGAUAUCAGGAGGAACACCAAUAGCGAAGGCAGCUCGCUGGGACGUUACUGACGCUAAGGCGCGAAAGCGUGGGGAGCGAACAGG
rnacentral:rRNA from 1 species